GAGGUGGAUGUUUUUACUGCAGUUCCUAGAGGAUUUGAUCAGCUGUGUUAUUAAGGUAGAUCUGUGGUAAACAGGUGAGACAGCAAUCAGAUAAAACUGUUGGUGACCUCUUUGUUUGUCAGGAUGUUUAUGCCUUGUAUGAACAUUUUCUGUUUUCUAUGCUUUUGCUCAUACCUAAAACAAAGGAAGGAACAUUUGAGACUGUGAAUAAACUGCUGAAAUCAUA